rnacentral:rRNA from 1 species
UACCAGCUCUCCGAGUUGUAGGGAUGAUUAUUGGGCUUAAAGCGUCCGUAGCUGGCUUAGCAAGUCUCCUGUUAAAUUCAGCGACCUAAUCGUUGAGCCGCGGGAGAUACUACUAGACUAGGAGGCGGGAGAGGUCGACGGUACUUUCGGGGGUAGGGGUGAAAUCCUAUAAUCCCGGGAGGACCACCAGUGGCGAAGGCUGUCGACUAGAACGCGCUCGACGGUGAGGGACGAAAGCUGGGGGGAGCGAACCGGAUUAGAUACCCGGGUAGUCCCAGCUGUAAACUAUGCGGGCUAGGUGUUGGGGUGGCUACGGGCCACUUCAGUGCCGCAGGAAAGCCAUUAAGCCCGCCGCCUGGGGAGUACGGCCGUAAGGCUGAAACUUAAAGGAAUUGGCGGGGGAGCACCACAAGGCGUGAAGCUUGCGGUUC